rnacentral:rRNA from 1 species
AUUGAACGCUGGCGGCAUGCCUUACACAUGCAAGUCGAACGGCAGCACGGGGGUAACCCUGGUGGCGAGUGGCGAACGGGUGAGUAAUGCAUCGGAACGUACCCGGAAGUGGGGGAUAACGUAGCGAAAGUUACGCUAAUACCGCAUAUUCUGUGAGCAGGAAAGCAGGGGAUCGCAAGACCUUGCGCUUUCGGAGCGGCCGAUGUCGGAUUAGCUAGUUGGUGAGGUAAAAGCUCACCAAGGCGACGAUCCGUAGCUGGUCUUAGAGGAUGAUCAGCCACACUGGGACUGAGACACGGCCCAGACUCCUACGGGAGGCAGCAGUGGGGAAUUUUGGACAAUGGGCGAAAGCCUGAUCCAGCCAUGCCGCGUGAGUGAAGAAGGCCU